rnacentral:rRNA from 1 species
AGAGUUUGAUCAUGGCUCAGAACGAACGUUAGCGGCGCGCCUAAUACAUGCAAGUCGAACGCGACAGGGGCAACUCUGUUGAGUGGCGCACGGGUGAGUAACACGUAGGUAAUCUCCCCCCGAGUGGUGGAUAACCUUCCGAAAGGAGGGCUAAUACAGCAUAUGACCACGGGCUCGAAAGAGCUUGAGGUAAAAGCGGAGGAUCGCAAGACUUCGCGCUUGGGGAUGAGCCUGCGGCCCAUCAGGUAGUUGGCGGGGUAACGGCCCACCAAGCCUAAGACGGGUAGCUGGUCUGAGAGGAUGAUCAGCCACACUGGAACUGAGACACGGUCCAGACUCCUACGGGAGGCAGCAGUAGGGAAUUUUGCGCAAUGGACGAAAGUCUGACGCAGCGACGCCGCGUGGGUGAUGAAGGCCUUCGGGUUGUAAAGCCCUGUGGGGAGGGACGAAUUAGUGGAAGCUAAUAUCUUCCAUGAUGACGGUACCUCCUUAGCAAGCACCGGCUAACUCUGUGCCAGCAGCCGCGGUA